CCUAGGCUGCCUUUCUCCACCCUAAUCACCGCCCCCUGCUUCUCUCAGCUUAGCCAUCCGAGGUGGGUGGGAAACGAGUAAGAGGGGCGGGGGAAAGAAAAACAUUCUCAAAAAAAAAAAAAAAAAAAAAAAAUUAAAAAGAAAACAUCCCACUUGGCAGCGAGUGCGCGGGAAGUUCAGCGCGCGAGUUCCGGGCUUCCCGCCCGUCCGCAGAGGACUGCAGCCUGGCUUCUUCCAUGAAUGGAAGCAGGUGAGGACUUCACCAGAAGAAGAUGCUGAUGCCAUCCUGCCUGUACAGCCUGAAAAAGAACUGUAAGUCAAAGAAACCUCUUUUUUUUAUUAAUAUAAAGAAUCUAGCCUCAGAUAUUUCCUUAUAGUUAUUAUACAACGGACUAGGACAAUGUCCUGUAGUUGGUAUGUGAACCCUCUAACUCAAAUUAAAUAAUUGGAAAUAACUUAAAUGUAAAACAACAUAAUGUUUUGCUUCAUUUUUUUGUUUCUUGGGAACCCUAGAACCAAUUAUAAAUAUACUAAAAAUGUGAAAGCAAAUAUGGCAAACCUUAUCAUGUUAUCAGACACAGUUUUUCUUGCCUAGGUGGUAUAGUAACACACUUUAAUGUGAUAAUCAAAAU
rnacentral:lncRNA from 1 species